UGGCCGGAGCUGCUUGGAGGUCGCCGGAGUGUGUUAUGAGGUCGCUGGAGUCUUCCCUUGUAGUGGUCGGAGUAUCCCUUGAAGAUGGCCGGAAAAAAUGGGUGGAAAGAUCAAGCUUUUUCAGGCGGUCAUGCGAUGACCAUGACCGCCUAGGCGCUUCAUGUGUAUUAGGAAUUUUGCCAGAGCACGUGUGGAGGUCGCCGGAGUGUUCCCUUGUGGUGGCCGAAGUCUCCCUAGAAGAUGGCCGGAGAAAAUGGAUGGGGGAGAUGAUCUGAAAAUCUAGGGUUCGGGGUUCAAAGGUAGGAGGGAAGGGAAGAAAAGAGGAAGAAAUAAGAAAUAAGAGAGGAAUUAGGGUUUUUUAAACCCUCAUCCUCUUAUUUAAAUGACUUAAGUCAUUUAAAUGCUCUUAUUUAAAUGACUUAAGUCAUUUAAAUGGGUUGUAAAUGGGUUAUUGGGUUAGACGGAUCCGACCCAGAUUCGCCUAACCCGCUCAAGCGCAUGAAGGCAAACGCCUACAUGCGCUGGAGCGCAUGACCGCCUAGGCGUCGCAUGAAAAACUAUGGGAGAGAUUAUCUGAAAAUCUAGGGUUUGGGGUUCAAAGGUGGGAGGGAAGGGAAGAAAUAAGAAAUGAAAGAGGAAUUAGGGUUUUUUAAACCCUCACCCUCUUGCUUUGACCCGGAUCCGCCUAACCCGCUCCAACGCAUGAAGGCAAACACCUACAUGCGCUGGAGCGCAUGGUCGCAUGAACAAGCUUGAGAAAGUGUAUGGGAAAUGGGGCGGAUCAAAUUAUCGAUCCCUCCUAAAAUGUCAUUAAUGAAUAUAUAUACAAUUAGGAGGGAUUAGAUCUUAACAGAAUUGUACUAACAGAUUAUGUUAAGACUUAUCCAUUAGAAUGUUCUAGAAUUAAACUACUUAGCUAGCUAAUUACAUUAGUAAGAGUAAUAACUAGCUAAUUACAUAUCACACCUUUAUAACGAUAAUACUAAUACAUGAGUUACAUGACAACAAAGAAAAUCAAAAUAAAAAAUAGAAAAUAAUCAAAAGUUACCCAGAGAAAACAGUCAAAAUAAUCCACAGGGUGAGGGGGCACAUUAGGGCAAAGAUGGUUGAUUUUAAAUUCUUAACUCUUAAUAACAAAAUUUAAAAAAACACUAUGCAUUUGUAUAUUAUAAAAUAAAAACUU
rnacentral:lncRNA from 1 species